rnacentral:ncRNA from 1 species
AAACGCAACAUGGGGUGCCGCACACAGUGCGGCUGAGAAAUACCCAUCGAACCUGCACUCAGUUAGAACUAGCGAAGGGAUAGUUGUGGGAUAUAGUU